GCGCUCAGAUGCCCCAGCUCAGCCGAGAGGCCGCUCGCGCCGGGUCCUUCCUCUUCCCCAAGUGCAGGCAGAGCCCCCGGAGCCAUGGCCAGUCCUUCCGGCAGCUCCGAAGCCACUGGCAAGACCCGAGGCAGGGAUGGCCGGCCCAGGAGGGAGGAGGACGACGUCCCUCCCGAGGAGAAGAGGCUGCGGCUGUUGCUGGAGGGAGGGGGGAAGGGCACAGCCCGAGGACUGCGAGGACGGAGAGGACGCGCCGCGGCCGGGCAGGGAGGAGACCGGCACCCAGACAGGUGGCGACGGCAGAGGAGGCUUCCACUGGGACUAGGAUCAGGAUGUGGACACCCCCAAACUGGACCGUCAGGCCGGGGAGAGCCUCAAGGCCAAGUACCUCAUGCCGCCCUUUGUCACGAUGACCUCCCCGUCCCACUUCACCACCAUCCCGGGUCACUGGGUCAGAGCUCACGGAGUCAUUCACAACACGAUGUUUAACACUGAGAGGCUCUGGAAGUGCUCCUUCAAGACUCAGAAGAAGACCCAUUGCUGAGACAAUCGUGUUCUCUCUCUCUCUCUGGAUCACCGCCCAGAGACAAGGACUUGCAGGGCAACAAAGCAGCAUCAUCCCACUAUUCCAGGGGAGGUGCUAAAUACGAGGGUGAGGCUGUCAAGCAGUCCCUGGUGGAGUCCUACACUCACCCAAACAGCAACGAGACAGAGCGGAGUGCGAACAUCGAUACUGUCAUGAACUGGUUCACCAAGGAAGACUUUGACUUUGUGACUCUGUGUUACAGAGAGCCAGAUAACGUGGGACAUCGAUUCAGGCCAGAGGCAGAGAAUAGGAAGUUGAUGAUUCAGCAAAUCGACAGGACCAUCAGGUAUCUGGUGGGAGCCACUGAGAAGCACAGCCUGCAGAACACCUCAGCGUCAUCAUCACAUGAGACCAUGGGAUGACCACCGUGAAGAAGAGACCCAAUGUCAACAAGAUCCCUUGUCCAACUACAUCAAGUUUAUGGACUUGGUCAAGUUUGAUAUUGUGGGCUACGGUGGCUUUGGGAUGCCCCUGCCCAAAUUGGGGCAAGAGGAAGCCCUUUACCAGGCACUGAAGAAUGCGUACCCUCACCUCCACAUCUACAAGAAGGAGGGGUUUCCAGAACACUUCCAUCUCGCUAAACAUGACCGGGUUCUGCCAAUCGUGAUGUAUGCCAACUUUGGUUACAGUAUCAAUGGGGUAAGUUCAUUCUAAAAUGAAUAAAGUCACCUUGGAUCUAGGAGACAUCCAUUAGGGAAGGGUGGUUCUGCAAAAAUCAAACAUAAGAGCACAGCCGGGCACGGUGGCUCACGCCUAUAAUCCCAGCACUUUGGGAGGCUGAGGCAGGUGUAUCACCUGAGGUCAGGAGUUUGAGACAAGCCUGGCCAACAUGGUGAAACCCCAUCUCUACUAGAAAUACAAAAAUUACCUGGGCGUGGUGGUGCGCAUCUGUAGUUCCAGCUACUCUGGAGGCUGAGGCAGGAGAAUCGCUUGAACCUGGGAGGCAGAGGUUGCAGUGAGCUAAGAUCGUGCUACUGCACUCCAGUCUGGGCAACAGAGUGAGACACUGUCUCAAAAAAAU
rnacentral:lncRNA from 1 species